AUUGAACGCUGGCGGAAUGCUUUACACAUGCAAGUCGAACGGCAGCACGGGGCAACCUGGUGGCGAGUGGCGAACGGGUGAGUAAUACAUCGGAACGUGCCCAGUCGUGGGGGAUAACGUAGCGAAAGUUACGCUAAUACCGCAUACGAUCUAUGGAUGAAAGCGGGGGAUCGCAAGACCUCGCGCGAUUGGAGCGGCCGAUGUCAGAUUAGGUAGUUGGUGGGGGUAAAGGCCUACCAAGCCGACGAUCUGUAGCUGGUCUGAGAGGACGACCAGCCACACUGGGACUGAGACACGGCCCAGACUCCUACGGGAGGCAGCAGUGGGGAAUAUUGGACAAUGGGCGCAAGCCUGAUCCAGCAAUGCCGCGUGAGUGAUGAAGGCCUUAGGGUUGUAAAGCUCUUUCACCGGGGAAGAUAAUGACGGUACCCGGAGAAGAAGCCCCGGCUAACUCCGUGCCAGCAGCCG
rnacentral:rRNA from 1 species